AACGCACAUUGCGCCCUCUGGUAUUCCGGGGGGCAUGCCUGUUCGAGCGUCAUUACAACCCUCAAGCUCUGCUUGGUAUUGGGCGCCACGUUGUGGGUGUGCCUUAAAGCUAUUGGCGGUGCCGGCUGGCUUCAAGCGUAGUAAUACUUCUCGCUAUGGAGUUCGGUUGUGUGCUUGCUCAACUCAUCUUCAAAGGUUGACCUCGGAUCAGGUAGGGAUACCCGCUGAACUUAA
rnacentral:misc_RNA from 1 species